ensembl:lncRNA
UGUUCUCUCUCUUUCUCUCUCCUCUCUCUUUCUCUCUCCUCUCUCUUUCUCUCCUUUCAAUUCAAUUUGCUUUAUUGGCAUGACAUAACAAUGUACAUAUUCCCAAAGCUUACUUUGGAUAUUUACAAUAUUAAAAUAAAAAGAUUCAAAAUUGUCAACGGUACAACAUUAACAUCAAUAACCAAGGUUAAAAAAAAACAUACUUUCAACAAUAAGCAUAGAGGACAUGUUCAGGUUGGUUGGUCUGUCAGACACUGUCCCUCAUCUUAUGGCAGGCAGCAAUGUAGUGCUCUGCCAACCCACAGCUCUCUGUGUCCUCCCCCAACAGGAUGGGCAGUCUAUCCUCAUCAGAGAGGUCUUUGAAACCUUGAAUACGAGUUUCAAAUUUGGGUAAAUGACACUAAUUGUUUUAUUUCUUUAUACAUUUUAUCAGGAAAUGCAGCUCUGUCUCAGGUUCAGUGGUUUCACAGCCUUUCCUCUACAGGGAGCCAGGUUUUCCUGUGUCUACCCUUCUCAAUGGCAAGGCUGUGCUCACUGAGCCUGUACUUUGUCAAGGUUUUUCUUAGGUUUUGAUCAGUAACCAUGGUUAAAUAGUUAGCCACGGUGUUCUGUUGAUUUAGAGCCAGAUAGUACUGCAUUGUGCUUGUGUUUCCCAAUAAGUAAUGUAGUUUUGUGUUGUAAUUUGGUUUAUUCUGAUUGAUUGGAUGUUCUGGUGCUGAGGUUUCAGUGUGUUAGUAGAACAGGUUAGUGAACUCUGCCACAGGACCAGCUGGAUGAGAGUCCUGAGGUUUCAGUGUGUCAGUAGAACAGGUUAGUGAACUCAGCCCCAGGACCAGCUGGAUGAGAGUCCUGAGGUUUCAGUGUGUCAGUAGAACAGGUUUGUGAACUCAGCCCCAGGACCAGCUGGAUGAGAGUCC